rnacentral:rRNA from 1 species
GUGUCAGCCGCCGCGGUAAUACGUAGGGUGCAAGCGUUAAUCGGAAUUACUGGGCGUAAAGCGUGCGCAGGCGGUUUUGUAAGUCUGUCGUGAAAUCCCCGGGCUUAACCUGGGAAUGGCGAUGGAGACUGCAAGGCUGGAAUCUGGCAGAGGGGGGUAGAAUUCCACGUGUAGCAGUGAAAUGCGUAGAGAUGUGGAGGAACACCGAUGGCGAAGGCAGCCCCCUGGGCUAAGAUUGACGCUCAUGCACGAAAGCGUGGGGAGCAAACAGGAUUAGAAACCCUGGUAGUCC